rnacentral:lncRNA from 1 species
GCUUAUUUCAAAUUGGUGUUUUUGGGGUUAGAAUGCACAUUCAACCAAAAAUCGCAGAGUGAAAUGUUUUUCAGCCCAAAUCAAGCAUAGGUCUUUUGGUUCCACCUCAAUAGAAGGAGGACGAAAAAACUUGGAUUGCACUUUCGGUGUUCAUUCACCCACAAAUAACAAAGCGAAGUGUCAUAAGCCUAAACAAAGCAAAACAGAUUAUUUUGGGUUCCAUCUACAUAGAAAGAAGAAUCUUGGAUUUCACUUAUUUCAAAAUCAUGUUGUUUGGUGUUAAUGCACAUUUACCGAGAAAUCGCAAAGUGUAUGUAAUGAGACCAAAAUAACAAAUCACCAUCUUUCCGCUUCCAUAGCGUAGAAAGAAGAAGAAUAAGCUUCGAUUGGGCUUAUUUCAAAUCGCAUGGUGUUUUUUGGGUGUGCACCAGAAUCCCCCCAACCAAAGCAAAAAGGUGUUUUUGCCUCCAUCUACAUAAAAAGAAGUUGAUAACGCUCUGAUUGGGCUUAUUUCAAAUUGGUGUUUUUGGGGUUAGAAUGCACAUUCACCCAAAAAUCGUAGAGUGAAAUGUGCGUUAUAAGCCCAAAUCAAGCAUAGGUGUUUUGGUUCCAUCUCAAUAGAAGGGACAACUAAGCUUCAGGUGCACUUUCGGUGUUCAUUCACCCACAAAUAACAAAGCGAAGUGUCAUAAGCCUAAACAAAGCAAAACAGAUUAUUUUGGGUUCCAUCUACAUAGAAAGAAGAAUCUUGUAUUUCACUUCUUUCAAAGUCGUGUUCUAUGGUUUUAAUGCCCAUUCACCCAGACAUCGCAAAGUGUAUGGAAUGAGACCAAAAUAACAAAACACCAUCUUUCAGCUUCCAUUGCAUAGAAAGAAGAAGAAUAAGCUUCGAUUGGGCUUAUUUCAAUUCGCAUGGUGUUUUUUGGGUGUGCAGCAGAAUCACUCCAACCAAAGGAAAAGGUGUUUUGGCUUCCAUCUACAUAAAAAGAAGAUGAUAACGCUCUGAUUGGGCUUAUUUCAAAUUGGUGUUUUUGGGGUUAGAAUGCACAUUCACCCAUAAAUCGCAGAGGGAAAUUUGUUAUCAGCACAAAUCAAACAUAGGUGUUUUGAUUCAAUCUCUAUAAAAAGAGGAGGAAUAAGCUUCGAUUGCUCUUUCGGUGUUCAUUCACCCACAAGAUCAAAGCGGUGUCAUAAGCCUAAACAAGAGAAAACAGGUUAUUUUCGGUUCCAUCUACAUAGAAUGAAGAAUCUUGCAUUUCGCUUAUUUCAAAGACGUGUUCUUUUGUGUUAAUGCACAUUUACCCAGAAAUCGCAAAGUGUAUGUAAUGAGACGAAAAUAACAAAACACCGUAUUUCCGCUUACAUAUGCGUAGAAAGAAGAAGAAUAAGCUUCGAUUGGGCUUAUUUCGAUUGGGGUUAGAAUGCACAUUCACCCAAAAUCGUAGAGUGAAAUGUGCGUUAUAAGCCCAAAUCAAGCAUAGGUGUUUUGAUUCGAUCUCUAUAGAAAGAGGAGGAAUAAGGUUGGAUUGCACUUUCGGUGUUCAUUCACCCACAAAUAUCAAAGCGAAGUGUCAUAAGCCUAAAGAAGACAAAACAGGUUAUUUUGGGUUCCAUCUACAUAGAAAGAAGAGUCUUGCAUUUCGCUUAUUUCAAAGGCGUGUUCAUUGGUGUUAAUGCACAUAUACCCAGAAAUCGCAAAGUGUAUGUAAUGAGACCAAAAUAAAAAAAACACCAUAUUUCCUCUUCCAUAUGCGUAGAAAGAAGACGAAGAAGCUUCGAUUGGGCUUAUUUCAAUUCGCAUGGUGUUUUUUGGGUGCGCACCAGAAUCACCCGAACCCAAGCAAAAAGGUGUUUUGGCUUCCAGCUACAUAAAAAGAAGAUAAUAACACUCUGAUUGGGCUUAUUUCAAAUUGGUGUUUUGGGGUUUAGAAUGCACAUUCACCCAAAAAUCGUAGAGUGAAAUGUGCGUUAUAAGCCCAAAUCCAGCAUAGGUGUUUUGGUUCCAUCUCAACAGAAAGAGGACAACUAAGCUUGGGUUGCACUUUUAGUCUUCAUUCACCCACAAAUAACAAAGCGAAGUGUAAUAAGCCUAAAAUUCGCCUAAACAAAGCAAAACAGGUUAUUUUGUCUUCCAUCUACAUAAAAAGAAGACGAUAACGCUCCAGUUGGGCUUACUUCAAAUUGGUGUUUUUGGGGUUAGAAUGCACAUUCAACCAAAAAUCGCAGAAUGAAAUGUUUUUCAGCCCAAAUCAAGCAUAGGUGUUUUGGUUCCAUCUCAAUAGAAGGAGGACGAAUAAGCUUGGAUUGCACUUUCGGUGUUCAUUCACCCACAAAUAACAAAUCAACGUGUAAUAAGCCUAAACAAAGCUAAACAGGUUGUUUUGAGUUCCAUCUACACAGAAAGAGGCAUCUUGGAUUUCGCUUAUUUCAAAGUCGUGUUCUUUGGUUUUAAUGCACAUUGACCCAGAAAUCGCAAAGUGUAUGUAAUGAGACCAAAAUAACGAAACACCAUAUUUCCGCUUCCAUAUGCGUAGAAAGAAGAAUAAUAAGCUUUGAUUGGGCUUAUUUCAAUACACAGGGUGUUUUUUGGUGUGCACCAGAAUCACCCUCAACCAAAGAAAAAGGUCUCUUGGCUUCCAUCUACAUAAAAAGAAGGUGAUAACGCUCUGAUUUGGUUUAUUUCAAAUUGGUGUUUUUGGGGUUAGAAUGCACAUUCACCCAAAAAUCGCAGAGUGACAUGUUUCUUAUCAGCCCAAACGAAGCACAGGUGUUUUGGUUCCAUCUCAAUAGAAAGAGGACGAAUAAUUUUGGAUUGUUCUUUCGGUGUUCAUUCACAAAUAGCAAAUCGAAUUGUAAUAAGCCUAAACAAAGCCAAACAGGUUGUUUUGGGUUGCAGCAACAUAGAAAGAAGAAUCUUGGAUUUUGCUUAUUUCGUGUUCUUUGGUGUUAAUGCACAUUGACCCAGUAAUCGCAAAGUGUGUGUAAUGAGACCAAAAUAAAACAACACCGUCUUUUCGCUUCCAUACGCGUAGAAAGAAGACAAAUAAGUUUUGAUUGUGCUUAUUUCAAUUCGCAUGGGGUUUUAUAGGUGUGCACCAGAAUCACCCCCAACCAAAGCAAAAAAGUCUUUUGGGUUCUAUCUACAUAAAAAGAAGAUGAUAAAGCUCUGAUUGGGCUUAUUUCAAAUUGAUGUUUUUGGGCUUAGAAUCCACAUUCACCCAAAAAUUGCAGAGUGACUUGUUUAUUAUCAGACCAAACCAAGCAUAGGUGUUUUGGUUCCAUCUCAAUAGAAAGAGGAAUAAGCUUUCAUUGUUCUUUCGGUGUUCAAUCCCCCACAAAUAGCAAAGCGAAGUGUAAUAAGCCUAAACAAAGCCAAACAGGUUGUUUUGGGUUGCAGCAACAUAGAAAGAAGAAUCUUGGAUUUUGCUUAUUUCGUGUUCUUUGGUGUUAAUGCACAUUGACCCAGAAAUCUCAAAGUGUGUGUAAUGAGACCAAAAUAACACAACAUUGUCUUUUCGCUUCCCUAUGCCUAGAAAGAAGACAAAUAAGCUUUGAUUGUGCUUAUUUCAAUUCGCAUGGGGUUUUAUGGGUGUGCACCAGAAUCACCCCUAACGAAAGCAAAAAGGUCUUUUGGGUUCCAUCUACAUAAAAAGAAGAUGAUAAAGCUCUGAUUGGGCUUAUUUCAAAUUGGUGUUUUGGGGGUUAGAAUGCACAUUAACCCAAAAAUCGCAGAGUGACAUGUUUAUUAUCAGACCAAACCAAGCAUAGGUAUUUUGGUUCCAUCUCAAUAGAAAGAGGACGAAUAAACUUGCAUUGUUCUUUCGGUGUUCAGUCCCCCACAAAUAGCAAAGCAAAGUGUAAUAAGCCUAAACAAAGCCAAACAGGUUGUUUUGGGUUGCAGCAACAUAGAAAGAAGAAUCUUGGAUUUUGCUUAUUUCGUGUUCUUUGGUGUUAAUCCACAUUGACCCAGAAAUCUCAAAGUGUGUGUAAUGAGAUCAAAAUAACACAACACCGUCUUUGGAGCUCCCGGCAGCUGAAGGGGAGAUUGUGUGCGACUCCUCUCUGGUAUGCUAUAAUUUGUGUUUUGUAUGCCUGCUGCUAUCUGUUAACCUUAUGCAAAUAAAGCAUUGCUUGUUCUUCAUCCACUGGCGUGCUUAUUGGCUCCAGAUCCAGAAAUAACCCUGCCCUUGGCAGAACAUAUACAGCGCUUUUUUUCUGGGGGGGACGCAGGGGAAUGGAUACUCCUAAAACAUUUUGUGAAUGUACUUUGGUCCAUUUACUGUAUUUAUUUUUCCCGGUUUGAACUAUAAAAUGGUGAUUUUCUUGAGUCAAAAUGAGAGUAUCCCCAGUCACUUUUUUUAGAAAAGAAGUACUGCAUAGAUACACACACACAUAUACAUAUAUCCAUUUUAUUUUUAUAUAUUUACAAACGGACACCUAUAUCUAGGUAUGUAUAUUCUUGUAUAUAAACUUCCGCGGCCCACCCGCACCAUCCUACCGCAAAGGGGCACGAGAGGAAGGCCACUGGGGGGAAAGGCAGGUGAGGACGAGGCGGGGGGCAGGGCUGCACCCUGGGAGAGCGGGGUCGACAGAGAGAGUGGGUGGGAGAAAGAGAGAGGGCCAGCCUCGCUCGGCACGUCUCUGCUGGCCCAACGUCGCAGCGCCUCUUCCGCCUAUUUCCCUCCCCUUCCUGUGCUCAUGCCUCUCCUCCGGUGGCACGUCCUUCCGGUACCCCUGCCCUCGCGCAACAUGGCGGCAGCACAGCCUCUUCCGCCCAUUUCCCUCCCCUUCCUGUGCUCAUGCCUCUCCUCCGGUGGCACGUCCUUCCGGUACCCCUGCCCUCGCGCAACAUGGCGGCAGCACAGCCUCUACCGCCCAUUUCCCUCCCCUACCCUUCCUGUCCUCUUGCCUCUCCUCCGGUGGCACCUCCUUCCGGGUACCCCCUGCUCUUGCCCAACAUGGCGGCAGCACAGCCUCUUCCGCCCUUCCCCCACCCCUUCCUGUCCUCUCGCCUCUCCUCCGGUGGCACCUCCUUCCGGUACCCCCUGCCCUCGCCCAACAUGGCGGCAGCACAGCCUCUUCCGCCCAUUUCCCUCCCCUUCCUGUCCUCUUGCCUCUCCUCCGGUGGCACCUCCUUCCGGUACCCCCUGCCCUCGCCCAACAUGGCGGCAGCACAGCCUCUUCCGCCCUUCCCCCACCCCUUCCUGUCCUCUUGCCUCUCCUCCGGUGGCACCUCCUUCCGGUACCCCCUGCCCUCGCGCAACAUGGCGGCAGCACAGCCUCUUCCGCCCUUCCGAGCUAGGAGUGCAGAAAAAGGUGAAACUGCCAUGAAAAGGAGAGGAGGAGUGUGUGAGUGAGUGAGUGAGAGUGAGACAGGGAGCAUCCUAGUAGAGAUGGAAGGGGAACCCAAGGGUCAUCUAGUCCAACCCUCUGCAAAGAAGCUCAGAGCUACAAUUCCCAGGUCUUCUUUGGGAAUUCUAUGGGAAGUAAGAGUUUCCAUAUUCAUGAGCAUUCACUUAGAGUGCGCUCAUGUUUUUACCUUUUAUUGAAAGCGGUCACAAGUGACUUGGGUGGAGUAUAAAUAAUAAAAUUAUAUUGCUCCUGCUGCUGUUCUCUUAGCCUAACUCAAAUCCAACCCAAUACCAAACCUUAAUCCUAAUGCUCACCCUAACUCAAACCUAAUCCUCACUCUAACCCUAACCUUAACCCAAACCUAAGCCUCAGUCUAAACCUAAACCUAAUUUAACCCUAACCUUAAGUAAUAAAAUUAUAUUUCUUCUGCUGCUGUUCUUCUCUUACCGUAACUCAACCCCAACUCUAACUCCUAAUCCUAAUCCAACUCAAACCCAGCUCUCACUGUAACCCUAACCUUUACCCAAACCUAAUCCUAAACGCUUUGCUUCUUUUUGUGGUGUUUUGUGUUAUUGCUUCAUUUCGUAGGUUAUGAGGCUUUCUUUGUUUCUUGUGGUGUUGCUUCAUUUAGCAGUUUUUAAUUGGCUUUUGUGUUUCUUUUGGUAUUGCAUCAUCUUCAUAGGUUGUUUGGAUUUCUGAUUAAUUUGCUUUGGAUUUCUGGUAGCUCUGCUUCUUUAUGAUUUGUUUCUGUGUUUCUGGUGUUUUGGCUUGGUUAUGUCAUAAAAUUGAAGAAAUACCACCAGAAGCACAAAAACCAAGAAAUAUUCCUAAAAUGAGGCAAAACCAGGAGACAUGAAAACCAAGCCAAAUCAAUGGAAAAGAAACAAUCUCACCCAAAACCGCAGAACCAUUCAAAGUAAAAGAAUCAAAACAAUUAAAUGCAAAAAAACAAGCAAAACCACCCCAAAUUAAACAAAUCAGCAGAAAACAAAAAAGAAGCAGUAAAGCCACCAAUUACAAAGCAAUGCCACAAGAAACUGGAAACCAGUUUUUAAAAAGCAAAACCAGAAACUCAACAGGCAUGCAAUUUAUGGGAGUCCAAAAGCACUUCAAGCAACAGAAAUUAACCAACAUAGCAUACUAGUUUUCACAUAGUCUUGGGUUUCUGGUGAAUGUGCUUCGUUUGCAGCUGGCUUCAUUUCUUUUCCAUUGGUUUAGCUUGUUUUUUGGACUUUUGCCUUAUUGCUUCUUUUGAGAAGUUUUCUUGUUUUUGCAUUCUGGUGGUAAUACUUUUGAAUGCUUUGGGGGUUUCUGGUGAAUCUGCUUUGUUUGGGAUUGGUUGGCUUCUUUGUCAGUUUCCAUUGAUGUUGCUUUUACAUGGUUCUUCUGCUUCUUUUCAGUAGGUUUAUGUGUUUUUAGUGGUUGACUUCAUUGUUGGAAUGGUCAUUAGACAUUUCUGGUGGUUUUCCUUCAUUUCUGGUGGUUUUCCUUUUUUUCUUGGGAUUAUCAGAUCUCAUACAAAUUAAUAUUCUCAAAGGUGCAAAACCCAAAAAACCUAGAAAUGAAGCAAACUCACCAUAAAUCCAGCACCCAAUCUGUUAUGUACUAACCUUGGACCCUAGAAUGCAACAACUGAUUGGUCUUUUCCUGCAGGCCAAUCAGGCUCCAAGAGGGAAGCAGAGUUAGCCAGUCAGACGGGACUCAUUGUGUAAAUAAUGUAUAUAAAAGCCUGAGGUUGGGGGGGGGGCAAUAAAGAGCAUGAAAUACAUACAAGACUCUGAGUAUAUUUCACAAUCAUAAUUUAUAUAAAAGAAUCUAUGAAAUGAAAACCACAGAAAAAAUUCAACAUAAUCCCCAAAACAAACCAGAAACAACAGAAACAAACCACAUCCACCAAAGAUGAGAAAACCAAUUGAAUAGAACCACAAGAAACCCACGCAGUAAACAUCUCAGGGAAAGGCGAAAUCACCCCCACACCAUGCAAAACUAAGGUUUAACUGGCUUUGGGGUUUCUGCGCAAUUUACCUUUUCACUCUUGUUGGGGGUUUCUGGUGGUAUUUCUUCUGCUUCUCACAUUUCUGCUUCUUUUCAAUUGGUUUUGGGAUUCUGGUGAAUUUGGAUAUGAUUUGAUUGAAGUCUCUGUCUGGCAAUUUUCCUUUUCAUGAAUUCCUUCCUUGUUGGGUUUCUGGUAUCUCACUUUUGGUUUUCACAUUUCUCUUAGUUUUGCUACGUUUCAGGUAGUUUGCUGAUUGUUUGGAAUUAUCCAGUCUCAUAAAAAUGAAGCAAUAUCAUUAGAAGCUUAAAAAGCAUGAAAAAAACCCCAGGCACUAACCCUAACCCUGAACAUCCACCUAUCCCCUGCCCUAACCCUGAUAUUCUGGUCAUCCAUCUUGGGGAUAACAAUCUGGUGAGGUAAAUUCAGUUGAGAUCACUAAAUAUCUCCAUCAGCUGUGCUUCCUCAUCCCUGAGCUUAUCAUAGUUUGGUUUGGAAUGUUGUAGAGGUGCUUAUGGAGUGGGGGCAGCCUUCCUAAGAAGGUGGAUGGGCAAGACAUAAAGCUAAUCAUUCUACGACGACGUUUGUGUUUGAAAAUGUGGCUGCUUAUAUCCCUCAUGGCAGAAUUAUGUUCUGUGCCCCACAGUUGUAUAGACCUGGUGGUAUGCAUCUUUCUGAUUUGGGUUGUGACAUGAUUCUUAAGGAUCUGCAAAGAGCUCUGUUUGAGCACUUGUGUGUUUGUGGGUGGAGGUGAACAAGCACACCUGCCCAGACUUAAUUUGAUUUGGUUACAUUGGUCGAAUCUGACUAGUUUUGCCGAUCCUCAAGUUGUUAUAUUUAAUAAAUACAACCUAUUUAUCCACUUUUGGUUGUCUUGACUCUUCCUCCUGAUGUGCUAGGAACCACUCCGUUUGGGGGGCACUGCAAAACAUGUGCACCAGAAUCACCCCAACCCAAGCAAAAAGGUGUUUUGGCUUCCAUCUACAUAAAAAGAAGAUAAUAACGCUCUGAUUGGGCUUAUUUCAAAUUGGUGUUUUUGGGUUUAGAAUGCACAUUCACCCAAAAAUCGAAAAGUGAAAUGUGCGUUAUAAGCCCAAUUCAAGCAUAGGUGUUUUGGUUCCAUCUCAAUAGAAGGAGGACGAAUAAGCUUGGAUUCCACUUUCGGUGUUCAUUCACCCACAAAUAACAGAGCGAAGUGUAAUAAGCCUAAACAAAGCAAAACAGCUUGUUUUGAGUUCCAUCUACAUAGAAAGAGGCAUCUUGGGUUUCGCUAAUUUAAAAGUCGUGUUCUUUGGUUUUAAUGCACAUUGACCCAGAAAUCACAAAGUGUAUGUAAUGAGACCAAAAUAACGAAACACCAUAUUUCCGCUUCCAUAUGCGUAGAAGGAAGACGAAUAAGCUUUGAUUGGGCUUAUUUCAAUUACCAGGGUGUUUUUUGGUGUGCACCAGAAUCACCCUCAACCAAAGCAAAAAGGUGUCUUGGGUUCCAUCUACAUAAAAAGAAGAUGAUAACGCUCUGAUUGGGCUUAUUUCAAAUUGGUGUUUUGGGGUUUUGAAUGCACAUUCACCCAAAAAUCGUAGAGUGAAAUGUGCGUUAUAUGCCCAAAUCAAGCAUAAGUGUUUUGGUUCCAUCUCAAUAGAAAGAGGACAACUAAGCUUGGAUUGCACUUUCAGUGUUCAUUCAACCACAAAUGACAAUGCGAAGUGUAAUAAGCCUAAACAAAGCAAAACAGGUUGUUUUGAGUUCCAUCUACAUAGAAAGAGGCAUCUUGGAUUUCACUUAUUUCAAAGUCGUGUUCUUUGGUUUUAAUGCACAUUGACCCAGAAAUCGCAAAUUGUAUGUAAUGAGACCAAAAUAACAAAACACCAUCUUUCCGCUUCCAUAGCAUAGAAAGAAGAAGAAUAAGCUUCGAUUGGGCUCAUUUCAAUUCGCAUGGUGUUUUUUAUGUGUGCACCAGAAUCACCCCAACCAAAGCAAAAAGGUGUUUUGGCUUCGAGCUACAUAAAAAGAAGAUAAUAACACUCUGAUUGGGCUUAUUUCAAAUUGGUGUUUUUGGGGUUAGAAUGCACAUGCACCCAAAAAUCGCAGAGGGAAAUUUUUUAUCAGCACAAAUCAAACAUAGGUGUUUUGAUUCGAUCUCUAUAGAAAGAGGAGGAAUAAGCUUGGAUUGCUCUUUAAGUGUUCAUUCACCCACAGAUAUAAAAUGAAGUGUAAUAAGUCUAAACAAAGCAAAACAGGUUAUUUUGGAUACCAUCUACAUAGAAAGAAGAAUCUUGCAUUUCGCUUAUUUCAAAGUCGUGUUCUUUGGUGUUAAUGCACAUUUACCCAGAAAUCGCAAAGUAUGUAAUGAGACCAAAAUAACAAAACACCAUAUUUCCACUUCCAUAUGCAUAGAAAUAAGACGAAUAAGCUUAUUUCAAUUCGCAUGGUGUUUUUUGGGUGUGCACCAGAAUCACCCCAACCAAAGCAAAAAGGUGUUUUGGCUUCCAGCUACAUAAAAAGAAGAUAAUAACACUCUGAUUGGGCUUAUUUCAAAUUGGUGUUUUGGGGUUUAGAAUGCACAUUCACCCAAAAAUCGUAGAGUGAAAUGUGCAUUAUAAGCCCAAUUCAAGCAUAGGUGUUUUGGUUCCAUCUCAAUAGAAAGAGGACAACUAAGCUUGGGUUGCACUUUUAGUGUUCAUUCACCCACAAAUAAAGCGAAGUGUAAUAAGCCUAAAAUUCGCCUAAACAAAGCAAAACAGGUUAUUUUGUCUUCCAUCUACAUAAAAAGAAGAUGAUAACGCUCCAGUUGGGCUUACUUCAAAUUGGUGUUUUUGGGGUUAGAAUGCACAUUCAACCAAAAAUCGCAGAGUGAAACGUUUUUCAGCCCAAAUCAAGCAUAGGUGUUUUGGUUCCAUCUCAAUAGAAGGAGGACGAAUAAGCUUGGAUUGCACUUUCGGUGUUCAUUCACCCACAAAUAACAAAUCAACGUGUAAUAAGCCUAAACAAAGCUAAACAGGUUGUUUUGAGUUCCAUCUACACAGAAAGAGGCAUCUUGGAUUUCGCUUAUUUCAAAGUCGUGUUCUUUGGUUUUAAUGCACAUUGACCCAGAAAUCGCAAAGUGUAUGUAAUGAGACCAAAAUAACGAAACACCAUAUUUCCCCUUCCAUAUGCGUAGAAAGAAGAAUAAUAAGCUUUGAUUGGGCUUAUUUCAAUACACAGGGUGUUUUUUGGGUGUGCACCAGAAUCAACCUCAACCAAAGAAAAAGGUCUCUUGGCUUCCAUCUACAUAAAAAGAAGAUGAUAACGCUCUGAUUUGGUUUAUUUCAAAUUGGUGUUUUUGGGGUUAGAAUGCACAUUCACCCAAAAAUCGCAGAGGGAAAUUUGUUAUCAGCACAAGUCAAGGAUAGGUGUUUUGAAUCGAUCUCUAUAGAAAGAGGAGGAAUAAGCUUGGAUUGCUCUUUCGGUGUUCAUUCACCCACAAAUAUCAAAGCGACGUGUCAUAAGCCUAAACAAAUUAAAACAGGUUAUUUUGGGUUCCAUCUACAUAGAAAGAAGAAUCUUGGAUGUCGCUUAUUUCAAAGUCGUGUUCUUUGGUGUUAAUGCACAUUUACCCACAAAUCGUAAAGUGUAUGUAAUGAGACCAAAAUAACAAAACACCAUCUUUCCGCUUCCAUAGCGUAGAAAGAAGAAGAAUAAGCUUCGAUUGGGCUUAUUUCAAUUCGCAUGGUGUUUUCUGGUGUGCACCAGAAUCACCCCAACCCAAGCAAAAAGGUGUUUUGGCUUCCAUCUACAUAAAAAGAAGAUAAUAACGCUCUGAUUGGGCUCAUUUCAAAUUGGUGUUUUUGGGUUUAGAAUGCACAUUCACCCAAAAAUCGAAAAGUGAAAUGUGCGUUAUAAGCCCAAUUCAAGCAUAGGUGUUUUGGUUCCAUCUCAAUAGAAGGAGGACGAAUAAGCUUGGAUUGCACUUUCGGUGUUCAUUCACCCACAAAUAACAGAGCGAAGUGUAAUAAGCCUAAACAAAGCAAAACAGGUUAUUUUGGGUUCCAUCUACAUAGAAAGAAGAAUCUUGGAUUUCACUUAUUUCAAAGUCGUUUUCUUUGGUUUUCAUGCACAUUGACCCAGAAAUCGCAAAGUGUAUUUAAUGAGACCAAAAUAACAAAACACCAUCUUUCCGCUUCCAUAGUGUAGAAAGAAGAAGAAUAAGCUUCGAUUGGGCUUAUUUCAAUUCGCAUGGUGUUUUUUGGGUGUGCAGCAGAAUCACCCCAACCAAAGCAAAAAGGUGUUUUGGCUUCCAUCUACAUAAAAAGAAGAUGAUAACGCUCUGAUUGGGCUUAUUUCAAAUUGGUGUUUUUGGGUUUAGAAUGCACAUUCACCCAAAAAUCGAAAAGUGAAAUGUGCGUUAUAAGCCCAAUUCAAGCAUAGGUGUUUUGGUUCCAUCUCAAUAGAAGGAGGACCUUUUGCAUCGGAGUUCCAGUCCUUCGCAACCAGACAACAUGAGCUCUCGGGUCAUCGCAGCUGUCUGCUGUGGGGAGACCGCGUUGUGAUUCCCCAAAGACUCCGUCAACGCGUCCUUCAGGCUCUGCACGUUGGCCACCCAGGAAUUGUCAAAAUGAAGGUGUUGGCUCGGUGUUACGUCUUUUGGCCCAACAUGGACGAUGCCAUCACUGCCUGGGUUUCCACCUGUCAAGCGUGCCAAGUAUUGAGGCCACCGACAGCUAAGGGACACACCUGGGAGACGCCCAAGACACCCUGGUUGAGGGUGCACAUCGAUCUGGACAGCCCCUUUCGUGGCCGGACCUUUAUGGUAGUGGUGGACGCCUAUUCCAAAUGGCUGGAGGUGGCCCUGAUGCCCUCCAUCACUACCGAGGCCGUCAUCUGGGUGCUGCGAGGCCUCUUUGCAACGCAUAGGUGUCCUGAUGUCCUUGUCUCCGACAACGGACCACAGUUCACGUCAGGCACUUUUGAGCGGUACCUUUUGGGACUGGGCAUCCGCCAUGCCCUAACAGCACCAUUUCAUCCAUCCAGCAACGGGCAAGCGGAGAGAAUGGUGCGCUCGGCAAAAGAGGCACUGGGAUGCCUGGACCGGGGAGACUGGCACAAGCAGGUCGCCAAAUACUUGUUCGUGGAACACAUCACCCCUCAUGCGGCCACAGGGCGGAGUCCUGCCGAACUGCUUAUGGGCUGCCGCCUCAGGUCCCCGCUCGACCGGCUGCACCCGGACUUUGCCGUGGCUGAACCCCCAGGCUGUGCCAACGCACCACGGUCAUUUGUUCCAGGAAACCAGGUAUUUGCCCGGAACUUUGUGGGGGACAUUCCUUGGGUGCCAGCCACAGUAGUGGGAGUCACUGGACCUCGCUCGUACCAGGUGGCACUCGAAAAUGGAGGUUUGUGGCGCUGGCACAUAGACCAGCUUAGGCGCAGGGUUGGGGACUUGGACACUACCGUGGUGCCCCCAACUGUGCUCGUGGCUCCGGAACAGACACUUACAGAUGGUGAGGCUCCACCUACACCUCUCUCGCAAACUGCCGGCGUGGAGCCGAACCACUGCCAUCCCUGUCAUUCCGCCAACUCCACUUGCGGAUGUUCCACCCACAGCAGCGGAUCCAGGGGACUUGGUUUCAAUGCCACCUAGGGUCGUGCCACAGCCUCAGCAAGAAUCGGGCAGCCCACCGGACCUGGGUACCGCUCCCCGGCAGUCUGGCAGAGUUUCCAAGCGCUCAACUUAUUUAAAGGACUAUGUUGUUGGACAUGUAACACUGUUGGUCUAAGUAUGUGGAAGUAUGUGAAAUGUAACCGAUAUGCUUUUGUGCCUAAUUGAACCAUUACGUGUAGUGCUGUAUAUAAGGAAACCAUUACGAUUGUAACUAACGCCUUAUCUCGGUGGGGAGGGGUGUUAUGUACUGAAGUUCUCACCCUGGGCCAGCAGGGGGAUACUGUAGAUAGUUAUGCAAAUGAAGGAUCGAAAGUGACAUUCAGUGAUUGGAUAGUUUUAGAAAGUUGUUACAGUAUUCAGUUAUGUCCUGGCCUGUGAAUAAACAAGAGCUGUUUGAAGAA